UUUUGUUGCAUCUGAUCGAUUCUACGUGAUUUUGUAAUACCUUCAUUCCUUCCUCAUAGACGACACAUGAAAUUCACGUAAAGUCUUAGUGAAUUCAAUUUUUUCAUUUUUCUCAAGCGUAUGGUUGAAAAUUCUUAUUAGAAAAAGCUGAUUUUGUUAGCCGUCGUCAAAAAUGUUUUUGUCAGUUGACAAAGGAAUUUGUUCUCAAUCGUCUUGAAUCUUGCAUAUGUCUUCUGUAAUCGCUGUGGCUGCAAGUGCCCUUUCGUUGGAACUGGUGGUGGUCAUUCGUUCUUUGGUUCGAGUCCCACCGUAGGAUGUCCGGGUUAAACGAAACGAAAUUACGCAAGGAUCCCACAAAGCAACUCGCCGGCCAAAGGUCCCGCAUUUUGUUUAGAUCACGAAUUUAGUAUAGUGUGUGGCGA